rnacentral:piRNA from 1 species
UGAGAGAAACUGUUAACGAAUGGCAUAAUU